UACGUAGGGCGCAAGCGUUGUCCGGAAUUAUUGGGCGUAAAGAGCUCGUAGGCGGCUUGUCACGUCAGAUGUGAAAGCCCGAGGCUUAACCUCGGGUCUGCAUUCGAUACGGGCUAGCUAGAGUGUGGUAGGGGAGAUCGGAAUUCCUGGUGUAGCGGUGAAAUGCGCAGAUAUCAGGAGGAACACCGGUGGCGAAGGCGGAUCUCUGGGCCAUUACUGACGCUGAGGAGCGAAAGCGUGGGGAGCGAACAGG
rnacentral:rRNA from 1 species